rnacentral:sRNA from 1 species
AUGGACUACAUGCGCACUACGGUUUUGAGCGCGCCGUCCAAGCCAGCUGACGACUGCUUGCUACGUUUCUAGCU